rnacentral:rRNA from 1 species
UACGUAGGGGGGCUAGCGUUGUCCGGAUUUAUUGGGCGUAAAGAGCGUGUAGGCGGCCAGGUAGGUCUGGUGUGAAAACUCGAGGCUUAACCUUGAGAUGUCAUCGGAAACCAUUUGGCUAGAGUCCGGAAGAGGAAAGUGGAAUUCCUGGUGUAGCGGUGAAAUGCGCAGAUAUCAGGAAGAACACCAAUGGCGAAAGCAGCUUUCGUGGGACGGUACUGACGCUGGAGACGCGAAAGCGUGGGGAGCGAACAGGAUAGAACCC